AACGAACGCUGGCGGCAUGCCUAACACAUGCAAGUCGAACGAGACCUUCGGGUCUAGUGGCGCACGGGGGCGUAAAGCGUGGGAACCUUCCCUUAGGUUCGGAAUAACUCCCCGAAAGGGGGGCUAAUAUCGGGUAAUGUCCUCGGACCAAAGAUUUAACCCCUUUGGAUGGGCCCGCGUUGGAUUAGCUAGUUGGUAGGGUAAAAGCCUACCAAGGCGACGAUCCAUAGCUGGUCUGAGAGGAUGAUCAGCCACACUGGGACUGAGACACGGCCCAGACUCCUACGGGAGGCAGCAGUGGGGAAUAUUGGACAAUGGGCGAAAGCCUGAUCCAGCAAUGCCGCGUGAGUGAUGAAGGCCUUAGGGUUGUAAAGCUCUUUUACCCGGGAUGAUAAUGACAGUACCGGGAGAAUAAGCUCCGGCUAACUCCGUG
rnacentral:rRNA from 1 species